CCGUUGUCCAAAUUUUGUAAGUAUGCCAGGGGGCACUGGCAAUAAGAUGCACUGGAGUCAUUCCAAGAAAGGUAAUUUCACUGUUAGAUCAUUUUACCAAAUUCUACCGAGUCCUGGAAUGACCAUGUUCCCAUGGAAGAGUCUAUGGCAGACGAAAGCUUGUUCAAAAGCAGUUUUUUUCGUUUGGACAGCAUCACUGGACAAGAUCCUAACUACAAAUAAUCUGAAGUGCCGGGUAAUUGUGCUAGAUUGGUGUUGUAUGUGUAAGAAGCAUAAAGAAUCAGUAGAUCAUUUGCUUUUAUACUGUGAGGUGACCAGGAUCAUGUGGGAUGAUUUUUUCACGAGAAUCAGAUUGUCAUAGGUCAUGCCUCUUAGAUUGGUGGAUUUCCUCGCAAGUUGGAGAGGCCUUCACGGUAACUCACAAGUGGCGGCCAUUUGGCGAAUGGUUCCUAUUUGUAUGUGUUGGUGUAUUUGGAGGGACAAAAAUGCUAGAAGCUUUGAAGAUCGCGAGAGAACAAUGGAUGAG